rnacentral:rRNA from 1 species
UUAAGCGACUAAGCGUACACGGUGGAUGCCCUGGCAGUCAGAGGCGAUGAAGGACGUGCUAAUCUGCGAUAAGCGCCGGUAAGGUGAUAUGAACCGUUAUAACCGGCGAUUUCCGAAUGGGGAAACCCAGUGUGAUUCGUCACACUAUCAUUAACUGAAUCCAUAGGUUAAUGAGGCGAACCGGGGGAACUGAAACAUCUAAGUACCCCGAGGAAAAGAAAUCAACCGAGAUUCCCCCAGUAGCGGCGAGCGAACGGGGAGGAGCCCAGAGCCUGAAUCAGCAUGUGUGUUAGUGGAAGCGUCUGGAAAGGCGCGCGAUACAGGGUGACAGCCCCGUACACAAAAGCGCAUGUGCUGUGAGCUCGAUGAGUAGGGCGGGACACGUGGUAUCCUGUCUGAAUAUGGGGGGACCAUCCUCCAAGGCUAAAUACUCCUGACUGACCGAUAGUGAACCAGUACCGUGAGGGAAAGGCGAAAAGAACCCCGGCGAGGGGAGUGAAAAAGAACCUGAAACCGUGUACGUACAAGCAGUGGGAGCACAGGUUUACCUGUGUGACUGCGUACCUUUUGUAUAAUGGGUCAGCGACUUAU